UCCUCAGCCAUAACUGACAAAUUAGGACAGGCAGGAUUCAGGGAAGGAAAUUAAAUGAGAAAACUUGAGAGAGUGGGUUUGAGUUGGUUCUCAUCAGAACACCAGCCUUACAUUUUCAGUAAGUCACAAGGUAUAGCCUAAAGACUCUUGCCUCCCAGAUAAUCACAUCAUAACCCUAUUGAAACUAUGAUAGGUCUUUCUAAACUGCAAAUUAGCUUAAUCAGUUCUGAUCCUGGGAAAUUACCAAUGUUAAAAUGUUUUGAAAGUGAGAUAGUCACAAAGAACUCUUUGAGCCUCCUUCCCUAAUCUUGCAUGCCAGCCAACCAUCCUUUCUUUAUUCCCAUCUGUCAUAAAUAUAAAGGGAAGGGUAAACACCUUUAAAAUCCUUCCUGGCCAGAGGAAAAACGCUUUCACCUGUAAAGGGUUAAGAAGCUAGGAUAACCUCGCUAGCACCUGACCAAAAUGACCAAUGAGGAGACAAGAUAUUUUCAAAGAAGGAGGGGGGAGAAACAAAGGCUCUCUCUGUCUGUGUGAUGCUUUUGCUGGGAACAGAAAAGGAAUGGAGUCUUAGAACUUAAGCCCCGUGAAUACUUUGGAGGGGCUGGAGGCAGCAGACCUAACCCUGAGGAGGAAGUCAAGAAUGAGGCGGUCAAGUUGGAGGACAAGGUGGAGCACAUGGCGCAGCGAGUCAGGACCUCUUUUCCAUUCCAGAGGGAUCUAGCCAGUCCCAGCCGUCCAUCUCCGGCAUGCAUGAUGCAGGAGAGGAGAGCCCUGCACACAGCAGGUCAGGCAACUCUGAUUCCUGUUCAGCUUGGAUGCUCAUGAUAUACUGCAUGACCAGCCGCCAUGUUUUCAUAACAGUGACAACAACAGAGUUGUGCAGGAUCCAUUCUUUCAGACAGAGAUGGCGGGCGCACAGUAAACAGGGGCCUUUGAAAAAUGCCACAAAAUGCAGUCAGAAGCCAAUGGAAUGCUGGGAUAGAAAGAACUGCAUCAUGGGACAUUGAGCUCGCACCCUGAUGCACUGCGAUCCACUCCACCUUCCCACAACUCCUAGCUGCAGAAAGUAGCAAGUAGAACAGUGGGAUAGCUGUCCACCAUGCAUUGCUCUCACUGUCAGUGCUAGAGCACCAAGCUUGGACAUGCUCUGCUGACAGAAGGAGCAUAGUGUGAA